rnacentral:rRNA from 1 species
CCGGAGCUUGCUCCACCGGAAAAAGAGGAGUGGCGAACGGGUGAGUAACACGUGGGUAACCUGCCCAUCAGAAGGGGAUAACACUUGGAAACAGGUGCUAAUACCGUAUAACAAUCAAAACCGCAUGGUUUUGAUUUGAAAGGCGCUUUCGGGUGUCGCUGAUGGAUGGACCCGCGGUGCAUUAGCUAGUUGGUGAGGUAACGGCUCACCAAGGCCACGAUGCAUAGCCGACCUGAGAGGGUGAUCGGCCACAUUGGGACUGAGACACGGCCCAAACUCCUACGGGAGGCAGCAGUAGGGAAUCUUCGGCAAUGGACGAAAGUCUGACCGAGCAACGCCGCGUGAGUGAAGAAGGUUUUCGGAUCGUAAAACUCUGUUGUUAGAGAAGAACAAGGAUGAGAGUAACUGUUCAUCCCUUGACGGUAUCUAACCAGAAAGCCACGGCUAACUACGUGCCAGCAGCCGCGGUAAUACGUAGGUGGCAAGCGUUGUCCGGAUUUAUUGGGCGUAAAGCGAGCGCAGGCGGUUUCUUAAGUCUGAUGUGAAAGCCCCCGGCUCAACCGGGGAGGGUCAUUGGAAACUGGGAGACUUGAGUGCAGAAGAGGAGAGUGGAAUUCCAUGUGUAGCGGUGAAAUGCGUAGAUAUAUGGAGGAACACCAGUGGCGAAGGCGGCUCUCUGGUCUGUAACUGACGCUGA